AAUAAAAAGGAUUCAAAGAUAUUAAUUAGAUAUCUACCAAAUAAAAAGAGAUUUUGCUGGGAUGGGAUGCAUAGAUCGCAGAGUCGUAGAUUUCUAGCCCAAGGUUUUGUAUCCGUUCUGUUUCUAUUUUCUAGCCCGUCUCAUCAAUCUUCUCUCUCAACUCUCAAGACUAGUUUCUACACCGUUCACAAACGACUAGUAUUUGGUGUAUAUAAAUAUACAGAUUGUUUAUGUUUAUGUUACAACACAAUCUUGCAACUGAAACAAAAAAAUCUAUCUUGACCUCGAAUUAUUUCGAAUUUGUAUUCUGUUUUCAUUCUUCUAAAUUUCGAUUGCUGGGUUCGGUUGUUGAGUUCAAUUGUUGGGUUCGCUUGUUGGGUUCGAUUGCUGGGUUCGAUUGCCAAGUUCGAUUGUUGAGUUCGAUUGUUGGGUUCGUUCGAAAUCCGAUUGCUGCUGGUGUUGCUUGUUUGAAUUUUGGAUUGCUGCUAUUGUUGCUUGUUCAACGACUUCUGUUUCUGCAGUUUGGUUCAACGGUGCAGGUGCAAGGACGAUUACGGAUAGAAGGACUCGAUUAAAUCCAAAGUCCAUCAAAUGUUGCAUGCUCUUGAAGAAUUGGUUGGAUGAAGAAUAUCGAUUGAAAAACUUGAAGAGAUUAGAGAGAUAUAAGAUAGCCGAAAUGAAUGAAGAUGAAGAUAGUGAAGACGGUGAACCGGAUAUAGAAAUUAGAGCACAAGGCGACGAAAAUGAACCGGAUAUUGAGAGAUUCUAUUUUCCAACUAUGGAUUAUACCUAUUCAAGUUCUCAAGAUCCAGAUUUUACUUAUGAAUGGCAACACAUUCCGGAUUAAGUAUUUUUCAUGUAUUUUUUUUUUUACUUUGAUGAACAUUCAGAUUUUAGGAAUUUAGUGUUUUUUGGCACAUACUUUUAAUGCUUCUGUGAAUGAAGUUUUCAAAUAUGUAAGGAAUUUAUGUUGAAUAAUAUAUUGAGUUAGAGCCCA